rnacentral:rRNA from 1 species
UACAGAGGUCCCAAGCGUUGUUCGGAUUCACUGGGCGUAAAGGGUGCGCAGGUGGUCGGGUAAGUCUGAUGUGAAAUCCCGCAGCUCAACUGCGGAAUGGCAUUGGAUACUAUUUGGCUAGAGGGUUGGAGGGGGGACUGGAAUUCUCGGUGUAGCAGUGAAAUGCGUAGAUAUCGAGAGGAACACCAGUAGCGAAGGCGAGUCCCUGGACAACUCCUGACGCUGAGGCACGAAAGCUAGGGGAGCAAACAGG